CGCUGGCGGCGUGCUAACACAUGCAAGUCGAGCGAUGCGGCGCUUCUUCGGAAGCGACAAUUAGCGGCGGACGGGUGAGUAACACGUGGGUAACCUGCCUCAAAGAGGGGAAUAGCCUCCCGAAAGGGAGAUUAAUACCGCAUAAUAUGUUUUGAUCGCAUGAUCAGAAUAUCAAAGGAUUUUCUUCGGAACUUCCACUUUGAGAUGGACCCGCGGCGCAUUAGCUAGUUGGUGAGGUAACGGCUCACCAAGGCAACGAUGCGUAGCCGACCUGAGAGGGUGAUCGGCCACAUUGGAACUGAGACACGGUCCAGACUCCUACGGGAGGCAGCAGUGGGGAAUAUUGCGCAAUGGGGGAAACCCUGACGCAGCAACGCCGCGUGAAUGAUGAAGGCCUUCGGGUUGUAAAGUUCUGUCUUCUGGGACGAUAAUGACGGUACCAGAGGAGGAAGCCACGGCUAACUACGUGCCAGCAGCCGCGGUAAUACGUAGGUGGCAAGCGUUGUCCGGAUUUACUGGGCGUAAAGGAUGCGUAGGCGGACAUUUAAGUCAGAUGUGAAAUACCCGAGCUUAACUUGGGUGCUGCAUUUGAAACUGGGUGUCUAGAGUGCAGGAGAGGUAAG
rnacentral:rRNA from 1 species